UCUCUGCAAUACUAAGAAAGAGUUAUAUAUAUAUAUAUACAGUCUCUCUCUCUCUCUCGUGAUCUUCAUCAUCUUCUUCACAGCACUAGUCCUUUGAUUUAUUGAGAACCCUAUCUCCUCUCCUCCUCGAAUCCUAGCUGAAAAAAUUGGUCAAAAAAUUUACCUUUCUCUCUCACUACAAAUCUUCCUCUCCCUCUUAAUCUCUCUCUCUCUCUCUGUUUUUCUUUGUUGCCGACCACAAGCAAGAACAAGGGCCCUAUCAGCUGUCAUGGUCUUCCUCUCUGUGCGUCUCUCCAUCAGGGUCUCAUCAGAGAGCUUAACUUAAAGAACUACUGAGCUUUGAGCUUGUAUUGGUGUUGGCUGUUCUCCACUGGCCUGGAAAUGAAUCCAUUUUAUAGAGAUGCAUGUCAAGGGUGGUCGGAUUUUAUGACAGAUAUUAAAGACCAAGACCAAGAAAGUAAAUGAUACAUUUUUAUAUAAAAAAUGAUAUAUAUAUAUAUAUUUGUAUUACUUAUUUUGAUUUAUAUUAUUACAUGAGAUGACAUGCAUGCACUUGUGUUGGUCAUACGCCAUACCUGAUUUAUUAGAAAUGCUAGUUAAAAAGGAGUGGUGGGGGGAAGUGAGAGAGCUUUCACCAACUAGUGUUGUUGGCAGUGCACAACAAAAUAGGAUAGGUAGAGAUAGAGUGGUUGAACGGGCUUUGAGUUGGUUGUGUACAACUAUGGAUAGAGCAGUGUCUUAGAUAUAUUUGACGUUGUUUAUGAUUACGGUGUGGCAUUCAAAGAGGACGAAAAUAAUAAUAUUGCUUUAAGUAAUGAAUUGUUACCUGUUUUUAUGGUCAUUUAAUUGAUUAGUGUAUAUUUAUACAUAUAUACAUGCUAUUAUUCUUUUAUGUAGAAUAAUAAUCCAAGAAUUUUAUAUCCAUUAAGAACAUAUGAAAUUGUUCCAAUAAUCAAGAAUGAAGUUAUAAGUCGUCUAGAUGAAAGACAUCCUCUAAUGGAUGUUGUUAGUGUGGGAGAUGACUUUUUAGGUUUAAGAUGGAACCACAAUUGUAUUUUAAACAAUAGUAUUAUUUAUAACUAAUUAUAUAGAAUGUUUUAAUUAAUUAGCAAAUUAUAUAAUAAUAAUGUAAUUUGUUAAUUAAUUAAAACACUCUAUAUAAUUAGUCAUACGUAGUAUUAUUGUUUAAAAUACAUACUCAAUUGUUGUUCCAUCUUACAUCUGAAAAGUCCUCUUCCAAACUAAAAACAACCAUAAGAGGAUGUCCUUCAUCUAAACGACUUAUAACUUCAUUCUCGAUUGUUGGAACAAUUUCAUAUGUUCUCAGUGGAUAUAAAAUUCUUGGAUUAUUAUUCUGCAUAAAAGAAUAAUAGCAUGUAUAUACAUAUAAAUAUACAUUAAUCAAUUAAAUGAUCAUGAAAAUAGGUAAUAAUCAAUUACUUACAGCAAUAUUAUUAUUUUCGUCAUCUUUGAAUGCGACACCAUAAUCAGAAACAGCAUCAAAUAUAUCUUGGACACUACCCUGUCCAUCGUUGUACACAACCAACUCAAAGCCCCCUUCAACCACUCGAUUGCACAACACUAGCAGUUGAAAGCACUCUCACUUCCCCGUACUCUUUCUUCAACAGCAUUUCUAGUAGAUCAGCUGUCGCAUAUGCCCAACACGUAGCUGCAUAUAUAGGCAAUGUAAUAAUAACAAAUCAAAAUAAAGUAAUACAAAUAUCAUGUUUCUAUGUAGAAUUAUAUAGGUUGAUUCAUAUUACCAUAAAAUGUAUUUCUUGUUGUUGAUUCUAACUGAGAGAAGGGGGAAUCCUACGAAGUGCUUUGGUUUUUUUUUUUUAAUAUGAUCUAAAAAUUAAGUCUUUGUGAAUAAGUAACUAUGAAAUGUGACAAAAAUCUCACUUUUUCAG